GCAGAAGCCCCUAACUGUUCUCGGCAGCAGGAGGAGAGGCUGUCUGUCUGCACUCCUGGUGGCCACAUGGGACCGUUGCUGAUAUGAGUGGCACCUUCUGGAAGUGGUUCCUGACCGUUGAGGAUGAAGAAUGGACCUCGUGCAGUCCAGGACAAGGCUACGAUGGUAUAGUGCUCUGAAGCACCAGUGGAAUUGCAGCAGAAAAGGCAGUCAGUCCGGCAGGGCAGGUCAUCACCUGACAAAUGUAUAGGCAUUUAUUUCGGAGUGUUUGUGAGACACUGGUAUCAGUGUGACCUCCCAGACUCCAGCAAAGAUGGACUGCUUCCAGCUCAUAGCCAUUGAACACAGCACCGUGUGAACUAUCCUUACCCUCGUCAUCCAAACACAGGCAUGUGCAGAUGGAUUUUCAGGGUGUUGCCAAGUGUUGGGAAAUGAAAAUACACAGAGACCAAGAGAACUGAGGUCACAGGGCCACCCUGAGUUCCUAGAAGCAGAGUGAGGUUGGAAUCUCCCAUCUCCAGGCAAAUGGGAACCAGUGGGGGGACCUCUGCCUGUUGUCCUCUGAUGAUUUUUGCAUUUGGCAUUCAUUACAGCCUCAGUUUACUGAAUGGUUGGGUGGGCAGACGGAAUUGCUUGCUUUGAGCAGCUGCACUCUGUCCUGCUUGCUGGAAAAUGGCUAAAGUAAGCAAGCUCUUCUCAUGUCUUUCAUUUUCACAAGUGGCAAGUGGAUGUGUGCAAAUAAGUGUGUAAGAGGAUACAGAAGUGUAUG